rnacentral:rRNA from 1 species
CCUACGGGAGGCAGCAGUGAGGAAUAUUGGUCAAUGGACGAGAGUCUGAACCAGCCAAGUAGCGUGAAGGAUGACUGCCCUAUGGGUUGUAAACUUCUUUUAUAUGGGAAUAAAACAGGGUAUGCAUACCCUCUUGUAUGUACCAUAUGAAUAAGGAUCGGCUAACUCCGUGCCAGCAGCCGCGGUAAUACGGAGGAUCCGAGCGUUAUCCGGAUUUAUUGGGUUUAAAGGGAGCGUAGGUGGAUUGUUAAGUCAGUUGUGAAAGUUUGCGGCUCAACCGUAAAAUUGCAGUUGAAACUGGCAGGCUUGAGUACAGGAGAGGUGAGCGGAAUUCGUGGUGUAGCGGUGAAAUGCGUAGAUAUCACGAAGAACACCGAUUGCGAAGGCAGCUCACUGGACUGCAACUGACACUGAUGCUCGAAAGUGUGGGUAUCAAACAGGAUUAGAUACCCGAGUAGUC